AUCCUUCUCUGGUUCAUAAGUGUGAUGGUUGGGUUCUCACACACUUGCGUGACAUGUUCCUCUCUCUAAACCUUGUUACAUCGUGGGCACAUUACCCAUCUGAUG